UUGGCGGUAGUAGAAGAACUAUAUUUUCCUUCCAAGAAAAAGGUCCUUUAUUUUUAGGUCGCUAUA
rnacentral:tRNA from 1 species